AUCGCUUCUCGGCCUUUUGGCUAAGAUCAAGUGUAGUAUCUGCUCUUAUCAGUUUAAUAUAACGGUAGACCCAGUAGGCAGGUAAAACGUGGGGCAAGACUUCCUGUAUGCUUACAGGAAAUCAAGCUCCGGAUAGUUGCUUGAGAUGGUAUAUAUUUCCAAGCAGUAGGUGUAUUACUUCUAUGACAACAUCAGCACCCCUA
ensembl:snRNA U2 U2 spliceosomal RNA